rnacentral:rRNA from 1 species
GAUGAACGCUAGCUACAGGCUUAACACAUGCAAGUCGAGGGGAAACGGCAUCGAAAGCUUGCUUUUGAUGGGCGUCGACCGGCGCACGGGUGAGUAACGCGUAUCCAACCUGCCCAUCACUUGGGAAUAACCUUGCGAAAGUAAGACUAAUGCCCAAUGACAUCCCACGAAGGCAUCCGAAUGGGAUUAAAGAUUUAUCGGUGAUGGAUGGGGAUGCGUCUGAUUAGCUUGUUGGCGGGGUGACGGCCCACCAAGGCAACGAUCAGUAGGGGUUCUGAGAGGAAGGUCCCCCACAUUGGAACUGAGACACGGUCCAAACUCCUACGGGAGGCAGCAGUGAGGAAUAUUGGUCGAUGGGCGAGAGCCUGAACCAGCCAAGUAGCGUGCAGGAUGACGGCCCUAUGGGUUGUAAACUGCUUUUAUAAGGGAAUAAAGUGGGUCACGUGUGACUUUUUGCAUGUACCUUAUGAAUAAGGACCGGCUAAGUCCGUG